rnacentral:rRNA from 1 species
UACGUAGGGUGCGAGCGUUAAUCGGAAUUACUGGGCGUAAAGCGUGCGCAGGCGGUUUUGUAAGCCAGAUGUGAAAUCCCCGGGCUUAACCUGGGAAUGGCAUUUGGGACUGCAAGGCUGGAGUGCGGCAGAGGAGACUGGAAUUCCCGGUGUAGCAGUGAAAUGCGUAGAUAUCGGGAGGAAUACCGAUGGCGAAGGCAGGUCUCUGGGCUGACACCUGACGCUCAUGCACGAAAGCGUGGGGAGCAAACAGG